CCUACGGGUGGCAGCAGUGAGGAAUAUUGGUCAAUGGCCGGAAGGCUGAACCAGCCAAGCCGCGUGAGGGAGGAAGGCGCUGAGCGUCGUAGACCUCUUUUGCCGGGGGACAACAGGCCGGACUCGUCCGGUCCUGAGGGUACCCGGCGCACAAACCUCGGCUAACUCCGUGCCCGCAGCCGCGGUAAUACGGAGGAUGCGAGCGUUAUCCGGAUUCAUUGGGUUUAAAGGGUGCGGAGGCGGGCCUUUCAGCCGGCGGGGAAAUGGCGGGGCUCAACCCCGGCGAGCCGUGGGAACUGGGGGCCUUGAGUGGGGGAGAGGUAUGCGGAAUGCGCGGGGUAGGGGUGAAAUGCAUAGAUAUCGCGCAGAACCCCGAUUGCGAAGGCAGCGUGCCGGGGCGCGACUGACGCUGAGGCACGAAAGCGCGGGGAUCGAACAGGAUUAGAUACCCUAGUAGUC
rnacentral:rRNA from 1 species